UACGUAGGGGGCGAGCGUUGUCCGGAUUUAUUGGGCGUAAAGAGCUCGUAGGCGGUUUGGUAAGUCGGGUGUGAAAACCCCAGGCUCAACCUGGGGACGCCACCUGAUACUGCUAUGACUUGAGUCUGGUAGGGGACCACGGAAUUCCUGGUGUAGCGGUGAAAUGCGUAGAUAUCUGGAGGAACACCGGUGGCGAAGGCGGCAUUCUGGACUGCAACUGACACUGAAAGACGAAAGCCAGGGGAGCAAACGGG
rnacentral:rRNA from 1 species